GAGUUUGAAUCCUGGCUCAGGAUGAACGCUGGCGGCGUGCCUAAUACAUGCAAGUCGAACGCACUUUCGUUGAAUGAAUUAGAGGUGCUUGCACCGAAGAUGAUUUUAGCUAUAAAGUGAGUGGCGAACGGGUGAGUAACACGUGGGUAACCUGCCCAGAAGUGGGGGAUAACACCUGGAAACAGAUGCUAAUACCGCAUAACAAAGUAAACCGCAUGGUUUACUUUUAAAAGAUGGCUUCGGCUAUCACUUCUGGAUGGACCCGCGGCGUAUUAGCUAGUUGGUGAGAUAAAGGCUCACCAAGGCAGUGAUACGUAGCCGACCUGAGAGGGUAAUCGGCCACAUUGGGACUGAGACACGGCCCAGACUCCUACGGGAGGCAGCAGUAGGGAAUCUUCCACAAUGGACGAAAGUCUGAUGGAGCAACGCCGCGUGAGUGAUGAAGGCUUUAGGGUCGUAAAACUCUGUUGUUGGAGAAGAACGUGUGUGAGAGUAACUGCUCAUGCAGUGACGGUAUCCAACCAGAAAGCCACGGCUAACUACGUGCCAGCAGCCGCGGUAAUACGUAGGUGGCAAGCGUUAUCCGGAUUUAUUGGGCGUAAAGCGAGCGCAGGCGGUCUUUUAAGUCUAAUGUGAAAGCCUUCGGCUUAACCGAAGAAGUGCAUUGGAAACUGGAAGACUUGAGUGCAGAAGAGGACAGUGGAACUCCAUGUGUAGCGGUGAAAUGCGUAGAUAUAUGGAAGAACACCAGUGGCGAAGGCGGCUGUCUGGUCUGUAACUGACGCUGAGGCUCGAAAGCAUGGGUAGCGAACAGGAUUAGAUACC
rnacentral:rRNA from 1 species